rnacentral:rRNA from 1 species
UACGUAGGGUGCGAGCGCUGCCCGGAUUUAUUGGGCGUAAAGGGCGCGUAGGCGGUCACGCACGUCCGUUGUGAAAUCGCUCGGCUCAACUGGGCGGGGUCAGCGGAUACGGCGUGGCUGGAGCAAGCUAGGGGGCAAUGGAAUUCCCGGUGUAGUGGUGGAAUGCGUAGAUAUCGGGGGGAACACCAGUGGCGAAGGCGGUUGCCUGGAGCUUUGCUGACGCUGAUGCGCGAAAGCGUGGGGAGCGAUCCGG